GUUGAUCCUGCGGGAAGUUGCUGCUAUCUGGAUUCGACUAAGCCAUGCAAGUACGGGUUCUUCGAGAAUACCGGCUGAUCGCUCAGUAACACGUCGAUAAUCUAACCUUAUGUUUGGAAUAACCUUGGGAAACUGAGGGUAAUACCGAAUAUGGAAAUGGUACUGGAAUAUCUAUUUCUUCAAGUAAGGAUGAGUCGGCGGCGGAUUAGAUUGUUGGUGAGGUAAUGGCUCACCAAGUCGAAGAUCCGUAGGGGCCUUGAGAGAGGGAGCCCCGAGAAGAGCACUGAGAUACUGGCUCUAGCCCUACGGGGUGCAGCAGGCGCGAAACCUCUACAAUGCACCAACGUGUGAUAGGGGGAUCCAGAGUGCUUAGUUUACUAGGCUUUUGCCAAGUGUAAAUAACUUGGCGAAUAAGUGGUGGGCAAGACUGGUGCCAGCCGCCGCGGUAACACCAGCGCCACGAGUGGCAACUGUAAUUAUUGGGCCUAAAGCGUCCGUAGCCGGUUUGAUAAAUUUCUUGUGAAACUGUUCAGCUCAACUGAACAACGUGCAGGAAACACUGUCAGACUUGGGACUGGGAGGAAUUUGGAGUAUUGUGGGGGUAGCGGUAAAAUGUUAUAAUCCCUACGAGACUACCGGUGGCGAAGGCGCCAAACUAGAACAGAUCCGACGGUGAGGGACGAAAGCCAGGGUAGCAAACCGGAUUAGAUACCCGAGUAGUCCUGGCUGUAAACGCUGCGAGCAGGAUGUUGCGUAUUCUUCGAGAAUGCGCAGUAUCGAAGAGAAGUCGUUAAGCUCGCCGCCUGGGAAGUAUGGUCGCAAGGCUGAAACUUAAAGGAAUUGGCGGGGGAGCACUACAAGGGGUGCGGCGUGCGGUUUAAUCUAACUCAACGCAGAAAAUCUCACCAGCAGCGACGGCAGGAUGAAAGUCAGAUUGAAGGUUUUACUUGACGAGCCGAGAGGUAGUGCAUGGCCGCCGUCAGCUCGUUCCGUAAGGUGUCCUGUUAAGUCAGGCAACGAGCGAGACCUGUACCUACAAUUGCCAGCGGGUUCUUUCGAACGAUCGGGCACAUUGUGGGAACUGCCCUGGAAACAGGGAGGAAGGUGCAGGCUACGGUAGGUCUGUAUGCUCCGAAUCUGCUGGGCUACACGCGCGCAACAAUGGUAGCGACAAUGGGAUGCAACUCCGGAAGGAGAAGCUAAUCCUCCAAACGUUACCUCAGUACAGAUUGAGGAUUGUAACUCAUCCUCAUGACGCUGGAAUCCCCCUAAUCAGGUGUUAGCAUCGCCCGGUGAAUAUGUCCCUGCUCCUUGCACACACUGCCCGUCAAAUCAACCGAGUUGGGCCUGGAUGAGAUGUUGGCUUUUACCAAUAGCGAAUCUUGGCUUAGUGAGGUGGGUUAAGUCGUCACAAGGUC
rnacentral:rRNA from 1 species